rnacentral:rRNA from 1 species
AUUGAACGCUGGCGGCAUGCUUUACACAUGCAAGUCGGACGGCAGCACAGAGAAGCUUGCUUCUUGGGUGGCGAGUGGCGCACGGGUGAGUAACAUAUCGGAACGUACCGAGCAGUGGGGGAUAACUAAUCGAAAGAUUAGCUAAUACCGCAUAUCUUCUGAGGAAGAAAGCAGGGGACCAUUUGGCCUUGCGCUGUUUGAGCGGCCGAUAUCUGAUUAGCUAGUUGGUGGGGUAAAGGCCUACCAAGGCGACGAUCAGUAGCGGGUCUGAGAGGAUGAUCCGCCACACUGGGACUGAGACACGGCCCAGACUCCUACGGGAGGCAGCAGUGGGGAAUUUUGGACAAAGGGCGCAAGCCUGAUCCAGCCAUGCCGCGUGUCUGAAGAAGGCCUUCGGGUUGUAAAGGACUUUUGUCAGGGAAGAAAAGGGCGGGGUUAAUACCCCUGUCUGAUGACGGUACCUGAAGAAUAAGCACCGGCUAACUACGUG